UCGCUCGCCGGCGCGCUCCGCCCCAACAUGUCCCCCCGUUCACCGGCGAGCUCGUCCCGGAUUCGUCCCUCGUUGGCCUACUCCUCUUAGACCAGUCGUGCCGCCGUGCCGUGGUCAGGAGAGUCCCCUCCUGUGGCGAUACAGCCGGGCCUCCUAUGCCGAACGCCGGCAGGCCGUUCACCGCUCGGAUUCGGUAAGGAUUGAGGUCAAGAUCUCGCCGCUGGUGGAUGGCUCACAAAUAGAAUUGGAUAACGGGGCUGGAGAGACGAGUGGCCAGGGGGAUUGGGAUUCAGAUGGAGCUACAGCCUCUGCCAGGGAGAAGCUCUGGUGCUUAGGGAAGGGGGUUCUUCGUGGAGACGGAGCUAGAGGUCAGGGAGGCAUAUCGUGCCCAGUCAGCAGGCUCCGCUGCGGCUCAUGAGGAUCAAGGGAAGGUACAUAUGAGAAUGGGGUGGAGAGGCACGCGGCCAAGCAAAAGGCACCUACGAAUUGGGUCCUGUGCACUUUCUCUGAUAUUUUAGAGCUUAUUCCUUUCCAUAAGUAUGUCAUUAUUGUAUUGGGUGAUGCUGACAAUGUAGAAGGCAUGCCGUUUGCUAAUUCUCCCUGCAAGCAUGCAAAGCUUGGUUCGCUUCCAAAUCAACAAGGAGCAUAUGAAGAAGUUUCUACAUACUACAGAGAUAGGUCAUAUCCUACCAGAAUAUCAAAGUCCGCCUAUCACCUCUAGUUUGUGUUGCACUUUCAUCUCCUUCCCCCCAAUUUAUGUGUGGCCAUCUGGUUAUGUAUUCUGAUGAAUGAGCACUAUGUGUCUAUGUUGUUUUUUUGUCUUUACGGUUUGUAGAAGAAAUUCAUUGCUACUGAUUUCUGCCUCGUGUUUUACAGGUAAUAAACGAGACGGUCUGGUUGGCCAACAUUGCGCCAAACAUUUCUAGGAAGACGCUGCAAGAUGUUCAGUUCAAAGGUGAAACCCUCCUUAUACAAUUGAAGAAUAUAGAUCUAUCAUGCAUAAAAGCCAAACCAUUUUAUCUUGAUGUUAUGAUCUAUAUGAAAUAGAAAUAGUAACUGAGUACUUCUCAAAUUAUAAACCUGAAGAGGAGAUUCUUUGCACUACAAUUCAAAUGGAUCAGGUUCAAGUUAGUACCUGGAUUAUUAUUCCACUGAUUUUUUUUACACUGGGAUUAUAAAAACACUAUCUGGGACUGGAUAGCUUUUUUUUACGCUUUGAACAACUUGCAUCUUAACACUAUCAUGAUUUAUUAUUUGAACAACCUAGAGUGCGAUUCAGCUGAUCUGUGUUCCAGAGAAAGGUUGGGUGGUGCGGUUGAUUCAGGUAUGCUCUAUUCAAAGAGGGAUGCUACUUAAUAGCUUUGGGAGCAAAUGUUGCAUCGUGGUUAUGAAAUGAUAUGUUUGUCAGUCAUCAAAGUACAACAACUAAAAAAACAAAUUAUAAAAAUACUAUUCAUAGCAGGCUUUGUUAUCCAAUUGUAAAUGAUACUUACAGUUGAUGUAUGAAUUCCAAAACUGCGAGUGGUCCUGUGAACAUCCUUCAAAGCAGAAAUUGAUUCGAUUUGGCCAAAUUCAUUCAUGAGAUGAUUUGUACAAAGUAUACCACAGUUCAGGCACUAAUGUGAUUAUUAAUACAGAUACAAGAUAGUUCGUGGUGCUAUCAGAAUCUGAAUAAUGAAAUUUUGAAACCCGAUGGCGUUACACUGCAUACAAACCUGGAAUGGUUGCCACAAAAAGGAAUUGCCUAUUAGUUGACCUACAUCGUCUAUGGUUUACAGUAUAUAAUAACUGUCUCAAAGAGCAAAUCGAAUAAUAUGUGCUAUUGGCAAUAUAACUUAUUACACUGGUCUCUCUCAUAUGUCAGGUUGUGUUGUUUUAACGGAGCAGAAAAAAGUCAAGUUGAUAAUGUGUUGAUAUAUGUUACUACUGGAAUAUCAUCUCUCAUGUAUUAGCUUAUUGGUGAUUCCUAGAUGACAGUGUAAAUAUGUACAAAGAUGCAACCUUGACAAUAUUGCAUAAGAGAUUCAGUUGGAACUCCGCAAAAGAAGGAUUUAGCUGGGAUUUAUGAGCACUGAUGUUAGUAUUGUAUAAAAUUGAAGUGGUAUGCAUCAAAUUUAUUGAAUGUGGCAGAGAAUUAAUUUGUCUUGACAUUCUGGAUAUUUUGGGACAUUUAAGUCGGGAGAAUAUGCUUCAAGAGGAUGCAGGAGUUUUUUCUCGAAUGAUGUGAAUAAGUUACACGAGCUUCAGUUUUCAGGUACAGUCAGAUUUUUUACGAGAUAUCACACGGUAUUAUACUUUUCACAUUAUUACAGUGGCGCCAUCGAUAGUACACAUGACAAUCUCUAAUACUAUGAAGAGGGAGAUUCAUCAUCUGUCGUGCGCUGCGACCCAUGAUCCGCACUUGUAAGAAAAACCGUUGCCAAAAAAGAUCAUGGCGAAAGAACCAGUUUGCAUGUAUGUUCAUGCUAAUGUGUUUCAAUUCGAGCAUGACAAAGUAGUCAACACGGGGCAUCAUUGAGGUGUGGAAGGGUUAGGUGGAAGAGGACAGCCUCGCCACCAUACCAAGGCCGUCAGCGAGGCCAUGGCUAUGAUGCUGCACCUGCAGAGGGAGAAGGCCCAUGUCCAGAUGGACCUUUGCCAGUUCUUUUGCCUUGCCCACAGGAAGCUCGUCAUUGUUGCCGCCAAGCUUGAGAUUAUGGAUCCCACUGCAGCGUCAAGGACAGGUUGUAUCAUUUAUUAUCUUCCUCAUUUUUCAAUGCUUCAUUUUGUUUCCUUCCCUUAAUUGACCUGCUGACCAGCUAAUCGUGCUCUCGACCGUAUGUGUUUGUUUCAACGAAGGAAUCAACAUGAUAUUCGACGCCGAAGAGAAGGGUUUGAGAUUCAGCACAUCUUCUCUCUGCCCGUCUACAUACCUCAUAUGCUCAGAGUGUUCUUUGCUCAUAGAAGGUUAUAUCAUAAUUUUUAAGAGGAGAAGCGUAUUAUCGUAACAAUAGUAAUUCAUGCUCUCUGCUAGAUUAAACUAUCAAAGUGAUGAACUGUGAAAGCUAUUCCGUUUUUACUUGCAUACAGAGGAGGCUUUUUUUUCACUUAUGGGUUUCUAAAAUACUACUAUUUCUAGGACCUUUUUGAUGCCUACGGAAAACCUUAUGUUAUCAAAACUUAUGUUGCAUACGGGUAUAGGUAUUAGCUAAUAGUAUGAAGUAAAGGAGGGAUUCCAUA